GGAAAUCAUUUUCAAUGCUUACACACGAUGUAACUGCUCGUCGCAAUUCGUAGUUUACAAUUAACCAAUGUCAUGUCGGUGCACGCGUACCGAUCUUUGCCGACAAACGCAACCGCCACACAACAAACAGGAACAACGGACGAACAUGUAAACGAACGUCCGGAAUUUGAAAGUGCGGAAGAAGGAGGAGCGUAGUAUAAUAUGUAGGAAUAUCCUCGUAAGGAUAAUUAGUACAAGUCGAGGAUAAUUAAUACAACGAGAUGAUAUGAUUCAACACUACAAACAAGACGAUGAAGGUCGUGCUAGCAGAAGCGAGACGACCGUAACCAGAAAUUCUUCGAAGCGUGAACGGUGGAGACAUGUCUUUCUUGCUUGCCUUAACUCUUCUACGCAUAAUUAUAGUUAUCCGCACGAUGAGAUUUAAAGUGAAUAGAUUUUAUGCGAAAUGGGUCGAAAAUUCUUCGGCUUGUAUUUUUAUAAUCUGAAAAAAAAAAAAUUAGCCUAGUCUUGCAAAAAAGUAAUCGUCUCUUAAAAUUCACCUAUGAACUUUUGAUUCAACCUGUAUUAUAAAAGGAAGUAAAGAAGUCAACUCUUCGCAUCGAAGGUCCUAUACGCAAAAGAAACUUCAUUUUUUAUACAAACGUCCCGAUCAAUAUUCAAACGUCCUCUCCGACGGUGUGUAUGAUCAAACGAGAGAAGACUUUGAGAAAAGAAAUCGAAGGUCUUACAUGAGCAAACUUAUUUGCAUGCAUACCUCUUGGAAAUGAAUAAUAAUUUUUGCAAAUGAAUUCAAAUU